AAGAAUUUAAAAGUCGAACAGACUUAAAAUUUAAGCGGCUACACCUAAAAUUAUAUCUUAAUCCAACAUCGAGGUCGCAAUCUUUUUUAUCGAUAUGAACUCUCCAAAAAAAUUACGCUGUUAUCCCUAAAGUAACUUGUUUUUUUAAUCGCUAAUAACGGAUCAAUUAUUCAUAAAUUAAUGAUUUAAACAAUUAAAAGUUUAUUAAAUUUUAAUAUCACCCCAAUAAAAUAUCAUCUAUUAUCAUAACAAAAAAAAUCUACAAAAUUAUAAUAAUAUAAAUAUAAAGAUUUAUAGGGUCUUCUCGUCUUUUAAAUAAAUUUUAGCUUUUUGACUAAAAAAUAAAAUUCUAUUAUAAAUUUUUAUGAAACAGUUAAUAUCUCGUCCAACCAUUCAUACCAGCCUUCAAUUAAAAGACUAAUGAUUAUGCUACCUUUGCACAGUUAGUAUACUGCGGCCAUUUAAAAAAAAUUCAGUGGGCAGGUCAGACUUUAAAAAAAAUUCAAAAAGAC
rnacentral:rRNA from 1 species